rnacentral:lncRNA from 1 species
CACAAAGCUUGGUGUAUCCAAAUGCAGAUUAGUCUCAGGGAUGCCAUGUCAGUUAAGAGUAAUCUAUGGUCCUUUCAAAACUCUUGCUGGGUUUUGCCUAAGAUUCGAAGCCUAAAGCUCUGAAUUCUGACCUCCCUGAUUACUGACUGAGGAAACAAUAUCCCCAAAAUGGAAAGCUCCAGGUCUGUGUGCUUAGAUUUAGGCUCCAAGGACUGAACACCCUGCAUGUAAGGUGUGUGUCUAAGCAGUAUUUAUGACAUAACAAACCAGCCAAGAGCUGGAGGUUCUGAUCAGCAAAUAAGGAAGGAACAACAUCUGACAUCUUUACCCACUUUAACUGAAAGUUCCCACAAUAAUCUCAUCAUGAGGCUCACUCGUUCUCACCUCCAGAGUUCUGGGGGGUAAAAUAAUACAUAAAUGCAAGGAUUAUCUUAUAUAUACACCAAGGGAAAGGAAAUACUGCCUAUUAAGAAUUAGCAGCUAACAGCUGGGCGCGGUGGCUCACACCUGUAAUCCCAGCACUUUGGGAGGCCAAGGCAGGCGGAUCACAAGAUCAGGAGUUCGAGACCAUGCUGGCUAACAAGCAUCAAGCAAAGAACUUGUAAUACGCUGAAUGCUGCAUAGAAGGUUUUGAAACUACUUACCUGCUGUGGAACACCUGUAUAACUUUAAAAUGCAUCAAUCAAUCUCGAGAGUAUGAUCAUGCUUCCUGCUUUUAAGGAUCUGAAGUUAACUGCAACUCCAAGUAUACAAGACUUCUUUGGGACCCAUGGAAGCAUCUCUACAUGCUCAUGUUUGCCAGAUUCAGUGGCCUCCUGAAACCUGGCCCUAGCUAAUAAGUUAAAAAGCUCUAAGUAAUCCCGAGCUGCAUUUGAAUCUCCAAGAUCACUUGUUCAUGGGUUGGUAAUACUUUAAAGAGCCAUUUGUUUAACUGCUAAUCUGGAUCUUAUAUUCUGAGCCCCAGCUUUUUUCUAAAGCAAAGAAAAUACAAAAUAAAAGUAAGACCAAAUGCCUUUGUACCAUGGAGAGAGAAAUGACUCAUUGGAAUGCUUCUGUUUUUCAUCACAUCAAAGAUGCAUCAACAUAAAUCAACCAUUAUAUCAUGCACCAUGAUAAAAAAGGGGGAUAAAAGUCCCCAAACCACUGCCAAUUAAACCAACACAGUGCCUUUGUAUUAUUCAGAAUUUUUAUCUUAGCCUUAUUGAAAGAGCUUUUUUAGAACAUAUUUAAACAAUUCUGUCAUAUUUCAUUCUUGCAUACUCAUUAAAAAGGAAAAUAUGAGAGAUACAAAUGAAAGGUUUCCAAAAGUUUCCUCUCAUUCAGAAUCCAAUUCUUCAGAAUUAUUUUGCAACCCAGACUCUUUGAUGUCCUCGUUUUCCCACCAAAUAUGUUAUCAAGAGCAUGGUAGGGCAGAGUUUCUUAGAAGAAGGCAAUGUUAUUGUCAUUGAACACUGGCACUCAUCCUACAAGUUUUGAUUUUGGCCUCUUUUUUUCUGUGGGGUGGGGGGCAGGGUCUCGCUCUGUUGCCCAGGCUGGAGUGCAGUGGCACAGUCAUGGAUCACUGCAGCCUUGGCCUCCUGGGCUCAAGUCGUCCUCCCACCUCAGCCUCCCAAGUAGCUGAGACCGCAAGUGUGUGCUAUGUUUUUAUUUUUUUACUUUUAUUUUUUUAAUUUUAUUUAUUUACUGUUUAUUUAUUUAUUUAUUUUUGAGACAGGGUCUCACUCUGUCACCCAGGCUGGAGUGCACUGGUGUGAUCUGGGCUCACUGCAACCUCCACCUCCUGGGUUCAAGCAUUUCUCCUGCCUCAACCUCCUGAGUAGCUGGGAGUACAGGAUUGCACCACCAUGCCCAGCUAAUUUUUGUAUUUCAGUAGAGACAGGAUUUCACCAUGUUGGCCAGGCUGGUCUCGAACUCCUAGCCUCAAGUGAUCCGCGCACCUUGGACUCCCAAAGUUCUGGGAUUACAGGCGUGAACCACCAGGCCCGCCCUAAUUUUUUCAUUUUUUUUAUAGAAAUGGGGUCUCACUGUGUUGCCUAAGCUGGUCUCAAAUUCCUAGUCUCAAGUGAUCCUCCCACCUCGGCCUCCCAAAGUCCUGGGAUUACAGGUGUGAGCCAUCACACCUAGC